rnacentral:sRNA from 1 species
AUCGCUGCCAGGCCUUCGGACACGCCUC